AAGCCAGGAAGUGAUCAAUACUUAAGGACUUGAUUAAGAUUAAAAAAUCUCUUUUUGACUGUUGAAUUCAGCGUUCACUUUACAAGAAGAAAAAUUUAUCAUGGUGUAGAACUCUGGUAGAAAUGGAGGUUGCAUAGCUUUGGCUUUGAAGUUGCCUCGAGAAUCAGAAAGACAAUUCACUCCUGUUUUCUCAGAGUAUGUUUGUGGGGGUCCUCUUUCCCUCUCAGCCCAUUGGCCACUAGGUUGAGAGUGGAAAGAGGCAGAAGGGCUUUUGGUUUCUAGACUUCAUACAGUGAUAGAUGGAAAAAACAGAAAGCUUUGUACCAGGGUCCAUGAGCACAAAUGAAGACAGUCCUUCAGCAGACAGAGUUUGGUGAACCAACUCAAUUUUAUUCCAGAAUACGAGGAAUAUAUAGGAUUGGGGAGUCAGAGGACAAGCCCUAAUUUACAUUAAGAGGCACACUCCUAUCACAAGGGUUAGUAUGUGGCAGUUGGAUGCUAUUGCAGAGCUCCUAGUUCAAGUCUUCUUAACAGGGAUCUGUGCCAAGAAUCAAGCUAAAGAUGAAUCAGGCAUCUGGUUUUAGAGUCAGGCUCUGGUUUAGGGACAGCUUUCAGAUAAGGUCAGUCCUCCAGGCUCAGGGAAAUUCCCCAGAUAAGGCUAGGUAAAGAGCAGGAAGCUUUUCUAGGGAGGGAGGGAGCUCCAUGUGGCUGAGCUUAUUGAGAUAAGCUACUAGGCCAUGGAAAGCCUGAAACCUCUGACCAGCUGGCAAUGUCUUCCAAUACAUGUUACCAAGAUUCUGUUUGAGACACUCUUGGCCAUACCCCAGGAAUAAUUAAAGAGAAUCCAAGUGGUUUCCAGAACUCAUGUCCAACAGUUCCCAACUACCUGUAAUUCCAGCUCAGGUGUCUCAUGCCAGCAGGAUCAGUGGCAGUUCAAGCUGGCGGAUCUUGGUAGCCCUGCUCUUCAUUUAACUGGCAGUGGAGAAAAGCACAGCAAACAUGGAAGACAGGGAAGGCAGCAGAGCAAUGGUGCAGGUCGGUUGGUCUGAAGAAAAGUGAAAACAGCAUGUGCUACAGCCUUCCCUGCCUUAUGAGUGGAAUCAGUUUCCGGAGAACCCCAAAAAGGGUGUCACUGGUGUUGGGGAAUAAAGAUUGAGUGCUUUUAAUUUGAAAUCAGAAAUCCGCAGCUGUUUACAGUUCAAGUUACGACACGGAUUGUGGCCUCGUGCAUCUCUGCACAUGGAAAAAGUGAAUGCAGACUGGAAUGGUGAUUUCAUCAGGAAACGGUACACAGCCCUCCACUAUUCAUCAUGCUGCAGCCACCGUGAUAAGGUGGGACACCGCGUUGAGGGCUCACAUUCAAAUGGUGAAGACAGAUAACAAACAGCAGCAUAAAAGUUACCAAAGGAAUUACAAAUCGAGGUAAGGGCAAGGAAGGAAACAAACAAGAAGCUGCGGUACAGGCUCCAUAAAACGUGGUAGCUUGACUCUUCUCUGAGAGAGGGGAUGGCUGGGGCCAACCUGCUCCUGCGACCCAUUUGGUGGGUUAAGCGAGGCAGAACCAUCAAGGCACCUGGCACGGAGUUUCUAGGUGGUGGAGACCGGAUUCGAUUCUACAGCCCCGACUGCAGCCUUCUUUCUUGAAAAUGCUGACAGUCAUUUCCAGUCAAGUCAGAGGAAAGAGAAGAGCACACCGGAAGCCCCUGGUGAGAAAAACAUUGAAUCUAGCAUGGAAAAGAGCCGCGUAAAGAAGCUCAGUGACAGAAGGGUCAGCUGCCCACAGUCACAGCUAGAGUCGGUCCCAUCCUAACUGCCUUUGGGAAUAUGGUCAGGAGGCUUGAGUUUCUUUCUAAGAGCGGUGAGACCACAGGUGCAUUUCUGACAAGGUCUAGACUUGGUCUCAAACUUUUAAAAGAAGGUACCUCUGAUUGCAGUGUGGAGAAUGCACCACAAGCAGGAAAAUCAGUAAGGAGACCAGCAGGGGAGGGGAUACAGUUUUUGAUGAUGAGAUGGAGGAGAGAUUUGAACACAUUUUGGAGGCAGAAUGAAUAGCACUGUAUAGGACAAUGUGUUUGCCAACCUCAAGGAGGUGAUAGGAGGCCGGCACACCACAUGACACUGGGAUGCAGGCUUUUCUUAGAAGUGUGUUAACUCCAAAAGAGUAGUUCUUCUUAGGAGGCAGUUGCUGAGUGAAUUAGAAACAAAAGGGAAGAAAGGAAAACCUCGGUGUGUCUUAUUUCUUCAGCACAACAAAGCGGCUGGUGGGUGGUUGAAAAUUCUUUCUGGGGUAAUAUCUAUCACCUCAGAUGAGAGCACAGAGUUCAGGGAAGGUGAGUGACUAGCCACAAUGCAAACAUAAAUGCACUUUUCCUUUACCUAACACAUUGACUUCUACUAAGGAAAGAUGAAUUUGACAGCUAAGUCAAUUUCCCACCAAGCCUGUGACUCCAGAGUCCUUCGUUAUAGGCUGAGUAUUUUUAAAAUUUCUUAUUCCUUUAAUUAGUGAAAGACCCCUGCCCCUUAGCCCUCUCUUUCUCAAGUUUGCCUCCUCCUUCGGUCGGCGGCUGGUGGGGC